rnacentral:rRNA from 1 species
AAUGGGGCCGGCCCUAACAAUGCAAGUCGGACGGUAGCACAGAGGAGCUUGCUCCUCGGGUGACGAGUGGCGGACGGGUGAGUAAUGUCUGGGGAUCUGCCCGAUAGAGGGGGAUAACCACUGGAAACGGUGGCUAAUACCGCAUAACGUCGCAAGACCAAAGAGGGGGACCUUCGGGCCUCUCACUAUCGGAUGAACCCAGAUGGGAUUAGCUAGUAGGCGGGGUAAUGGCCCACCUAGGCCACGAUCCCUAGCUGGUCUGAGAGGAUGACCAGCCACACUGGAACUGAGACACGGUCCAGACUCCUACGGGAGGCAGCAGUGGGGAAUAUUGCACAGUGGGCGCAAGCCUGAUGCACCCGUGCCGCGUGUAUGAAGAAGGCCUUCGGGUUGUAAAGUACUUUCAGCGGGGAGGAAGGCGAUGUGGUUAAUAACCGCGUCGAUUGACGUUACCCGCAAAAGAAGCACCGGCUAACUCCGUGCCAGCAGCCGCGGUAAUACGGAGGGUGCAAGCGUUAAUCGGAAUUACUGGGCGUAAAGCGCACGCAGGCGGUCUGUUAAGUCAGAUGUGAAAUCCCCGGGCUUAACCUGGGAACUGCAUUUGAAACUGGCAGGCUUGAGUCUCGUAGAGGGGGGUAGAAUUCCGGGUGUAGCGGUGAAAUGCGUAGAGAUCUGGAGGAAUACCGGUGGCGAAGGCGGCCCCCUGGACGAAGACUGACGCUCAGGUGCGAAAGCGUGGGGAGCAAACAGGAUUAUAUACCGUGGUAGUCCACGCCGUACACGAUGUCCACUUGGAUGUUGCUCCUUUGAAGAGUGGCUUCCGGAGCUAACGCGUUAUCUCGACCGCGUGGAGAGUACGGCCGCAGGGUUAACACUCAUAUGUAUUGACGGGGGCCCGCACACGCGGUGGAGCAUGUGGUAUAUCUCUAUGCAACGCGAAGCACUAUACCCUACUCUUGACAUCCAGAGAACUUAGCAGAGAUGCUUUGGUGCCUUCGGA